CCUACGGGGGGCAGCAGUGGGGAAUAUUGCACAAUGGGGGAAACCCUGAUGCAGCGACGCCGCGUGAGUGAAGAAGUAUUUCGGUAUGUAAAGCUCUAUCAGCAGGAACGAGACAAGACGGUACCUGACUAAGAAGCCCCGGCUAACUACGUGCCAGCAGCCGCGGUAAUACGUAGGGGGCAAGCGUUAUCCGGAAUCACUGGGUGUAAAGGGAGCGUAGACGGCUGUGCAAGCCUGAAGUGAAAGGCGGGGGCCCAACCCCCGGACUGCUCUGGAAACUAGGUGACUGGAGUGCAGGAGAGGUGAGCGGAAUUCCUAGUGUAGCGGUGAAAUGCGUAGAUAUUAGGAGGAACACCAGUGGCGAAGGCGGCUCACUGGACUGUAACUGACGUUGAGGCUCGAAAGCGUGGGGAGCAAACAGGAUUAGAUACCCGGGUAGUC
rnacentral:rRNA from 1 species